ACGGUAGCUAAUACCGCAUAACGUCGCAAGACCAAAGUGGGGGACCUUCGGGCCUCAUGCCAUCAGAUGUGCCCAGAUGGGAUUAGCUGGUAGGUGGGGUAACGGCUCACCUAGGCGACGAUCCCUAGCUGGUCUGAGAGGAUGACCAGCCACACUGGAACUGAGACACGGUCCAGACUCCUACGGGAGGCAGCAGUGGGGAAUAUUGCACAAUGGGCGCAAGCCUGAUGCAGCCAUGCCGCGUGUGUGAAGAAGGCCUUCGGGUUGUAAAGC
rnacentral:rRNA from 1 species